rnacentral:rRNA from 1 species
CUACGGGGCGCUGCAGUCGCGAAAACUUUGCAAUACACGAAAGUGUGACAGGGCUAUCCCGAGUGCCAUCCGCUGAGGAAGGCUUUUACCCAGUGUAGAUAGCUGGGGGAAUAAGGAGAGGGCAAGACUGGUGUCAGCCGCCGCGGUAAUACCAGCUCUCCGAGUGGUGUGGAUGUUUAUUGGGCCUAAAGCAUCCGUAGCUGGCUGGGCAAGUCCCCUGUUAAAUCCACCGAUUUAAUCGUUGGAGUGCGGGGGAUACUGUUCGGCUAGGGGACGGGAGAGGCCGACGGUAUUUCCGGGGUAGGGGUGAAAUCCUAUAAUCCCGGGAAGACCACCAGUGGCGAAGGCUGUCGGCUAGAACGCGCCCGACGGUGAGGGAUGAAAGCUGGGGGAGCGAACCGGAUUAGAUACCCCCGUAGUC